AGCGUUGAAUUUCGAAUGAAAAGCCUCACAACUAUUAGUAGUGCGCAUAGUAGACGCUGAGUAUUCUACCCAUAAAAUAGGAGGGAAAUUGGACUCGUUUGAAAUGUAUGUUUCCUAUGAAUAUGUUUGUUUGCUAUGAAUAAUUUUACUCGGUUUCUCAUUAAUAUCAUCAAUAGCUUUACGUUUCACUUGAUUACUUACAGUCUGUCUGUUUAAUGUUUCAUCACUAUCUUUUUCGUGGUUUUUAUGAUUUAAAACUUUUUUAAUAAUUACGUUAUUAUUUAAAUGAAUAUAUGCUGUACAAAUUUUUUUUGUACUGUGAUUAUAUUUUAUCAGUCAAGAUUAAAUUAUCUAGAAUUAAAAAAACCCGGGCCGCAACUCGUCUGUACCCAAAAUAAACUCGGGCCGCAAUUCGGAUUAGACCUUUUUUUGUAGUUAUCUUCGGGACGCAACUAGUAUGCAGCCUGCUCAGGUAUACAGUAUACUUUAUAGAGUGGGAAAAGGAGGUUGACAAAAUGUUUUUACAUAGGUAUACCGGGAGAUAUAUAUACAUUUCUUUUUUUAAAUGUAAUAAUACAUUAUUUUUUCAGAACACUUAUAACUCACGCUUCAGUUUCUCCAGAAGAACGAUCAGCAUUAAACAUUUCGGACAAUUUAAUCAAUUUGUCUGUAGGAUUAGAAUCGGAAGAAUAUUUAAUCGCUGAUCUCGAUCAAGCACUAAAAGCUUCUGUUAAAAAUUAAUCGUGUUUUAGUUAAAAUAGUAUUUUAAUGGUGUCAAAUUACGUUAAUAUUAAUUGGUUAAUAUAUAAACAUGCGUAUAUAUAAUAUAUAUAUAUAUAGGUAUAUAAUUAUUAUUAUACUAUAGUAAAAUAUUUAUUAAGAUUAUUGUUUUAUUCGUUAAGGCUAGAAUUACUUGUUUUCUAAGUCGUCGAUCAAGUCUAAACCUAUGGACAAUCGAAUACGAUUAUCGAGAAUUCCCAUGGAUGGAUUGUCUUUCUUCAUCCGUAAGCGAACUUAGUACCUACAAUAAAAUAAUAUAAAGUUUUUUAUAUAUUGUGGCUCCAGAUCAAUAUUACUUAGCCGGCCAACGAGUAUACGGCUACACAGUGUAGUGUUGGUGACUUCGUGAGUAUUAUUUUUACUGACUUAGGUAUUGACUACAGCUAGUGACUUAUAUUAUAGUGUUGAUAUGACAUAUUAAUAUUAUAUCAUUGAUUAUAUUUAUAUAAACGCAUCUUUGAAUAAAUAAAUGGAAACAUA